AGAGAUUCCUUGAGAGUGCGGUCAGUGCGGAACCCUUCAGCAUGACCUGUGCAGUCUCUGCUUCUGAUGGCUUUUGUGCCAAUGCUGUCAGGGCUGGGAUGCUCCCCCACAGGAAGGGUGGUACAUGGCCCGUGGAUUCCUGAUGAUGGAUAAAUAUUCACUCACACCUUGUCUGCUGCUGCAAAAUGACCCAGCAAAACUGGACGUCCGAGGUUCCAGCUGUGCAGCCAUUAAAACCAAGUAUUGGAAUAAACUGAAAGUAGCAUCAGACAUGUGCAUUUUUGUGUCACAGUGUUGAAUGAGGUCUUUUAAAACAAUAAAUAGUAG